rnacentral:snRNA from 1 species
GUGUUCGCUUUGGCAUCACAUAUACAAGAACUGGAAUGAUACAGAGAAAAUUAGCAAUGCCCCUCACAAGGAUGACGAACAAACUCAUGAAGCAUUCCAUAUUUUU